rnacentral:rRNA from 1 species
GACGAACGCUGGCGGCGUGCUUAACACAUGCAAGUCGAACGGAAAGGCCCUGCUUUUGUGGGGUGCUCGAGUGGCGAACGGGUGAGUAACACGUGAGUAACCUGCCCUUGACUUUGGGAUAACUUCAGGAAACUGGGGCUAAUACCGGAUAGGAGCUCCUGCUGCAUGGUGGGGGUUGGAAAGUUUCGGCGGUUGGGGAUGGACUCGCGGCUUAUCAGCUUGUUGGUGGGGUAGUGGCUUACCAAGGCUUUGACGGGUAGCCGGCCUGAGAGGGUGACCGGCCACCAUGGGCCUGAGAUACGGCGCAGAAUCGUACGGGAGGCAGCAGUGGGGAAUAUUGCGCAAUGGGCGGAAGCGAGAUGCAGCAACGCCGCGUGCGGGAUGACGGCCUUCGGGUUGUAAACAGCUGUCGCCUGUGACGUAGAGUGAGUGACGGUAAUGGGUAAAGAAGCACCGGCUAACUACGUG